GUUUGUGUGUGUUCUUUCAGAUUGAUUACUUGACUAAAAAGUUUAUCAAGUCGGCAGAAGAUAUGUGCAAAUCGAAGGAAAAGGAAAUUACUAGCAGUUGAAAAAGCAAGUUUUUGUUUUAGCAGAGGCUCAUUUAGAGAUUCAAUUUUUGGCUGAGGAACUACUUAAGCUCCAGAAUUCUUGCACACAAAGUCAGAAAAAGACACGACAUGUUCGCGAUUGUGCAGAUACUUGAAGGGAAAUAUUGUAUUUCUUUUUUAAGCUAUGUUCUUACCUUGUUUGGUUUUAGUGGUUUACGUCCAAGAUCAUAUAUCUUAGCAUUCUGUGACAAGUGGUGAAUGUAAGCUAGAAUGAAAGACGAGCAUAAAUUAAUGAUGUACUAAACUGGACAGUGGACAGUGAGGCGUG
rnacentral:lncRNA from 1 species